AACGAUGUUUUGUGUAUAAAUGAAAGUGUAAGCACUCCACCUCAAGAGUAACAUGGCAACAUGGGAACUGAAAUCAUUAGACCGUUUCUGAAACUCGUAGUGAAGUAUGUUGUUUAAUUUGAUAACCCACAAGGGACCUUACCACAAUUUGUAUAACUAUAGUAUUAUAUAAUAUAGUUACAAGCGUUGCACGGCUGUCUUCAGUCAAUGUUGUGAAACUGUGGUUAGAUCCAUUAAAUUGACGUAAACCAUUACUUUAUUUAUUAUAAAGUAGUUCGCCGCUAUAUUGGUAGUGAUAUAA
rnacentral:rRNA from 1 species